GACGAACGCUGGCGGCGUGCUUAACACAUGCAAGUCGAGCGGUAAGGCCCUUUCGGGGGUACACGAGCGGCGAACGGGUGAGUAACACGUGGGUGACCUGCCCUCAGCUCUGGGAUAAGCCUGGGAAACCGGGUCUAAUACUGGAUAUGACUCCAUGACGCAUGUUGUGGGGUGAAAGCCUUGUGCGGCUGAGGAUGGGCCCGCGGCCUAUCAGCUUGUUGGUGGGGUGAGGCCUACCAAGGCGACGACGGGUAGCCGGCCUGAGAGGGCGACCGGCCACACUGGGACUGAGACACGGCCCAGACUCCUACGGGAGGCAGCAGUGGGGAAUCUUGCGCAAUGGGCGAAAGCCUGACGCAGCGACGCCGCGUGAGGGAUGACGGCCU
rnacentral:rRNA from 1 species